GAGUUCAGUUGGUUAGAGUGUGGUGCUCACAACGCCAAGGUUGCAGGUUCGAUCCCUGCAUGGGACA
rnacentral:tRNA from 1 species